UACGUAGGGGGCAAGCGUUAUCCGGAUUUACUGGGUGUAAAGGGAGCGUAGACGGCAUGGCAAGUCUGAUGUGAAAACCCGGGGCUCAACCGCGGGACUGCAUUGGAAACUGUCCGGCUUGAGUGCAGGAGAGGUAAGCGGAAUUCCUAGUGUAGCGGUGAAAUGCGUAGAUAUUAGGAGGAACACCAGUGGCGAAGGCGGCUCACUGGACUGUAACUGACGCUGAGGCGCGAAAGCGUGGGGAGCAA
rnacentral:rRNA from 1 species